AAUUUCCAAAUUCUCAAAAACUAAAACCUACAACAUGUUAAAUCCAAUUUUCAGAAUCAAUGACUUAAGAUUAUUGAAUGUUAGUCCCACCCUUACCUUAGAAUAAGAAAAUCGCAGCCUCUAUGUGCUUCUCCCUUCUCUUGGCUUUUUCUCCCUUUUCUCCAAAAUUGGUCGUACGUUAUGUUUUUUCUAAACUAGGUUUAUCCUAUUUAUAACCUUUUUUUCUAUUUUAUCUUAUUUCUCUUUCUCCCCCAAAACUCUCUAAAAUCUCAUAACAAACUCUCAACUCAAUCUUAUUUCUAUUUUCAAAUCUUAAUUUAUUAAAUAACAUAAGCCACUUAAUAAAUCACAUAAUCAAAUAAAUAUAUUUUAAACUCUUCUUAAUAAAUUUUAGACUCAAUUAAAUAA
rnacentral:lncRNA from 1 species